GAUGAACGCUGGCGGCGUGCCUAAUACAUGCAAGUCGAGCGAACGGACGAGAAGCUUGCUUCUCUGACGUUAGCGGCGGACGGGUGAGUAACACGUGGAUAACCUACCUAUAAGACUGGGAUAAUUUCGGGAAACCGGAGCUAAUACCGGAUAAUAUCUUGAACCGCAUGGUUCAAUAGUGAAAGACGGUCUUGCUGUCACUUAUAGAUGGAUCCGCGCUGCAUUAGCUAGUUGGUAAGGUAACGGCUUACCAAGGCAACGAUGCAUAGCCGACCUGAGAGGGGGGUAGGCCGCACUAGAAGGUGGACAGCGACCAGGCUCCUGAGGGACGGAGCAGACGGGUAUGUGCCGCAAUAGGGGGGAACCUUGCGGAAUAACGGCACGUGAGAUGUGGAAGUCUUGCGUUCGGGAAACUCUGUUUCUAGGGGAAAACAUAUGUGUAAGUAACUGAGGACAUCUUGACGGUAACUGAUCAAGAAGCCACGGCUAACUACGUG
rnacentral:rRNA from 1 species